ensembl:lncRNA
GUCGCAGCCAAAACUCAGGAGAACGAGGGUUCUCAAUUGCAGCUCCGAUGCUUCCCCUCCAUAUUAGACAAGCGUCAUCAGUGCAGCAGGUGGAACAGGUCGAGCUGGUCUGCAAACACACCUGAGAGGUGUCACCGGCUCCAGUCUCACCUCCACCUGCCUGAGAAGGGAAACGUCUCCUCACAGCAACACAGAAAAUCACAGACAUGGACAAACUGGCCGGGAUUGUCGGGAAAAAAGUGGGAGAUGCGGUGGAGGGUGCGGUGAAGGGCGCUCUGCAUUUAGGGAACAAAGACAAAGACAAGAAUAAGAAGAAAGGUGGAGGAGGAAUCUUCUCACGGACAGGAGGCGACAAGGACAAAAAGAAGGAGGUGGACAAGGGCGAAGACAAAGGAGGACUCUUCAACAGAGAGGACGAAUAUGAGAAGGAGCGGAAGUCCGGAUUCAAGGGUCUCUUCACUGAAGGGCCGCUCCCUGAAGCUGGCGGUGGUGGCGGAGCAGCGAUGGAAGGAGAAGGUGAAGAAAAACCACAAAGUGCUUCUGCCAACGAUGGGGAUUUGCUGGAUGAUCUUUUCGAAUUGGCUGAAGAAACAUCUCAAGGAAACUAAAACAGGAAGCUGUAAAGCACAUCCCGACCCCCGAGGAAUCAACUCCCACUCCUGAAUAAAGACUAAAAAAAAAAUCCACUUUUUUGUCCGUCUUUCAGAAACGCACAGCUUCAGGCAGAUAACUCGUAAGCUGGAAAGGAAAUGGCGUGCCACAAACCAUUAGAGGAAAAAUGACCAAUAAUCAUCCCACAGAUGUGAGUCACAGUUUAACAGUUCAUACACUGUUAUUUAAAGUGUGAAGUGUCUGUGGCCUGAAGAGCGUGGCAGCACUUUGAGCUCACAUUCAGUGAUGGGCGGUUUGUGUUGGCUCAUGUUUUGGAACUAGUUCGAUGCACAGAAACAUACGAAGUAACAUCAGUACAGAAAAGGAGAGCACUUCUGUGAAUGAUGAAUUAGCCGGUGGAACAGGUCGGGCUGCUCUGCAGACACACCUGAUUCCUCAGCUGAGCCACCUGAUGGGCGUCGUCGGCCGCGCUCUCACCUGAGAGCUGAACUUAAAGCACACCUGAGUGCGCCUCAGAGACAGAAACACCGCAGAGAUGGACAACCUCGCACAGAUAGCCGGCCAAAAAGCGGGUAGCUUGGUGGAGGGGGCAGUGAAGGGAGCUCUGAAUUCAGCCAACAAGAACAAAGGUGAGAAGAAAGGAGGAGGAGGCGGCAUCUUCUCGAUGUUUGGAGGCAACAAGAACAAAAAUAAGGACAAAGACGAUAAAGGAGCGCCCCUCCCAAAUGUGCCCAACAAAGAUGAUAGUGGGGGCAAGAAACCAGUACCCGAAGGGAAUUUAGCGGGAACUACAGGAGGGAGCGUGGGACCGACGAUGGGAGGAGGUGCAGGAGGGAGCGUGGGACCGACGAUGGGAGGAGGUGCAGGAGGAAGUGGAGGAUCAGCUGGACCUGUAGGACAGGAAGGAGUCACAACAGACAGAGAUCUGAUGGAUGAUCUGUUCGAGCUGGGAGACGAAAUGAAAGGGAACUGAAGCAAAAGGAAGAAAACCCGACUCCCACAACCACUCAGAGAAGAUCCGGAAGGACGAGAGCGCCCACAUUUUUCUCUGGUCUACAGUUUUGCACAGAACUAAAGAUUUUAAUGCAUUAUCAGCCUAUUAUUCACCGUGUUUUAUUCACCGUGUUUUCUGCUUUUAGAUAACCAGUCAGUGUGUUUAACUUUAUCAUAAUAAUAGCACCAGCAAAGACGUUAUGAAUGAAUAAAUUUAAAUGUUUUACUGGAGGGGACUUUUCCUUCUUUUGGUCAGUUUGUCAGUAUUUUGUCUCGUAGAAGCUUCUCGUAAACUCCAUGGUGGAUGUUUUAAAACAUAUAUUAGUUUUAAUUUUAAGAAAAAUAAAAAUCUUACACAUAGUUCAAUAUAUGAUCAUUGAAAAUCAAUAAAAGCAAUCUGAAAUAAAUACUGUCAUAACAAACAGAAUUAAAUAAAGAAAUAAAUUUAUGAAAAUGUGUUUUUUUCCAUUUACUUCUGAUGUUUUUCCUUAUGUUGACAUACACUUUGAUUCAUUAUAAACUCAAUCAUUUAAAUAACAUUUCAAACCUCAAGAUUACUCAAGUAGUGAGUAACUGUUUGAAAUGUCCGAUUUAUUUUUUAGAUAAAUGCUAUCAGACAAACAAAAAUAAAUAAAGAUACAAAUCUUAGUAUUUUCAACAGGAAUAUAUGUAAAAACAACAAUUCUAAUUUCCAG